rnacentral:rRNA from 1 species
AGUGAACGCUGGCGGUAGGCCUAACACAUGCAAGUCGAACGGCAGCACAGUAAGAGCUUGCUCUUACGGGUGGCGAGUGGCGGACGGGUGAGGAAUACAUCGGAAUCUACUUUUUCGUGGGGGAUAACGUAGGGAAACUUACGCUAAUACCGCAUACGUCCUACGGGUGAAAGCAGGGGAUCUUCGGACUUUGCGCGAUUGAUUGAGCCGAUGUCGGAUUAGCUAGUUGGCGGGGUAAAGGCCCACCAAGGCGACGAUCCGUAGCUGGUCUGAGAGGAUGAUCAGCCGCACUGGAACUGAGACACGGUCCAGACUCCUACGGGAGGCAGCAGUGGGGAAUAUUGGACAAUGGGCGCAAGCCUGAUCCAGCCAUACCGCGUGGGUGAAGAAGGCCUUCGGGUUGUAAAGCCCUUUUGUUGGGAAAGAAAAGCAGCAGGUUAAUACCCCGCUGUUCUGACGGUACCCAAAGAAUAAGCACCGGCUAACUUCGUG